GAGGUUCCCAGGCUGGGGCUCAAAUCAGAGCUGCAGCUGCCGGCCUCCAUCGCAGCCCACGGCAGCGCCAGAUUUUAACCCCCUGAGCGAGGCCGGGGAUGGAACCUGCAUCCUCAUGGCUACUGGUCGUGUGCAUUACCGUUGACUCACGCCGGGAACUGCGGCGCUAUGUGUUGACACAAACUCGGACGCAUGGCAGCAGGCGUCAACUGUGCUGUCAGCUGUGGACGAUCCCCCCCGCACCCCGUGGGAAGGCACCGCCGGGAGGGCUGGUGGUGCCCCCCCUGUUGGUGACCUGUGUUUCCAGCCAGGACAAGAAGGGCAGUCAGCUCAGCAGGCAGGACCAGGGCCCACCUGCAGCCCCCCUCGUGUGAAUUCUGAGCAGCCAGUUACGAGCCGCUUCUGGGCCACGUGGACCCAGUUUCUAUCAUUGGAACCCAGAGACAGUCUGACGAACGUGGCCACAAAAAUCUGCUCCCAGCACAGGUCUAGUGAGUUCACCCCCCGGCAGGAGCUGAAUUCUUCACCAGCGAAAGCCUCCCGUGUCUCUGCCGGCAGGCUCCCUCUUUUCACAAGGAUUCAUCAGGACUUAAAGCAGGUGAUUGGGGCUUUACAUGGUAGGCAUUUCAGGAGUCACUCAGGAAGGGUUGUUACGAUUGCAGACGGCUGCCGGUGGCGGAGCGCGGAGGUGGCAGCUCCCAGGCUGUGCAGCCUGCAGGUGAGCCCAUGUCCGCUGGUGCUCUAGCUGUGCCGGGAGGUUCCCCCGCGUUUACUGAUUGUGCUCACGUUUCUGGAGUGAGAAAUCAAGGCCCCUGGGCAGCUGCAGGCCCCCCCGAGCCUCACUUUCCUCAGUGUGAGAUGAGACCUGUAACGUUUACCGCCGAAGUCAGAGUGAUUCUCUGAGAUGAAAACUCUUGGUAGGAAGUUCGAGGCCAAGGCGGGUCCCGGCGCAGGUGCGCGGGGACCUGAGUUUCGGGGGCUGCGGGUGGGGGUGGGAGGGAGAGCUCAGCUCGGGAAAGACGUGGCCCCUACCCGAGCACUGGGUUUCGGUCACAGCCUCAGGAAAGGCGUGUUCGUUCCCCCGACAGGUCUAAGAGGCAGGGCUGGGCCUCUGCUGAGAGCGGCCAGCUGCCCGGCGUGACCGGCCCGGCUUUGCUUUCGGGGGGCGCCCCUUACCAGGUCAAUGCCGUUCAGCUCUAUGUGCCGGAGGAGGACGUCGGCCACCCGCCCUGGAUCCCACCGCACAGCCGGGUCGUCUGGGAAGUCCCUGGAAGGAAGAGGCACAGCAGCGUCACCGUUUUGAAGCAGGCUGAGCUUGUCCCUGAGCUCUGGUAGGUGUAUGGGGGGGGCUUCCCUUGGGUGGCCCGACAGAGGGGAAGCGGCCAGGAGCGGCUGCCGGCCCCUGCACCGCGCGCUUUGGGAGCUUUGUGCUCGGGGCCGAGGGGAGGAAGCAGACAUCAGGGAGACAGGCCCUGUCCACCAGCUCGGACGCAGGGUAGAGGGACGCGUGUCUGUAUGGGUCACAGGGACCACGCAUUGGUCAAGGGUACAAAGUUUGUCACUUCGUGUAGCCUCAGACACCUGUUGAGGAGCCUGGAUGGAUGGUGCUGAGAGGCCUGGUGCGAGGUUGUUAGGGCUGUGUGACCCAGGAUUUCUGACUGCAAAGCGGAGAGGUUUCAGCCCCGGGGAGCUGGGCCCCCGCCCCCGGGCCGCCCGCAGGGGUAGAGGGCUCCCCUCCCGCUGCUGGAUCUGAGGCCGCGGCCCCAUCUAACUUCAGUUUGAAGGUAUUAUUCCUAGUCGUGUAAAGGGGGCCACCUCUGCACUCAGGUCCCGGGUGACCCCCACAUGCCACCAGGAGAACACGCGCUUUCUCUGCCUCCCACCCGGUAGGGGCUCUGAGCGCUCUCUGGACAAAGGCCAUGAAGGGACCCUCCAAGGACCUCGGUCAAGGGAGAGUCAUGGGGGCUUCGCGGGGUGAAUACGACGUGACCUCAGUACCAGGUGGCACGCGGGUGCGUCCCUGGCCUCCCUGGCACCCUCCUAUCCAGGCGGCUUUGUGCUCUGCCAGGCCCUGUCCUGCCAGCCCUCCUGCUGGACACGUAGCGGCGACGCAGGGGCCAGCCCUGCUCCCUGGGAGCGGAGCUGAAUUCAGGCUGUAGCUUGUGACCUGCUGAGCUCGAGGGGGAGGAGAGACAGGACUCGGGGAAGACGGCCUGAAAGCAGCCUCGGCUCGCGGCCCUGACAGGGUGGGGGCCUCGCGACGGUGGCCAGGCGUCAGAACCGACCCCCAGUGUCCCCUUGGCUGGAGGGGUGGGACAGCAGCUGGCUGAGCCCAUGGAUUCGCGGGUCUGAGACGACGCCCGGAGCCGGGCAGCUCACGGCCGCCGCCCUUUCUGUGCCGAGAACGGGCUCCGCCCGCAGGGCACCGGCCUUAGAGCGAGGUCCCCGGAACAGGUCUCUCCACGCGCUUCUCUCUGGCUGAGCGCGCCGACCCGGGAUGAGGUGAGCCGUCUGGGGCCCUUGGACGGUAACCCCGCUCUGUGACCUGGCGCGUGCGAUUCGGCAGCUCUGCUUUUGGGAUCUCGUCCACACCCCCCGGUGGCCGGGCCCUCGCAGUGUCCCCAGUCUGUGUCCCGCGUGAUCCCUUCACUGCUCUUUUCCGGGAGAGGGACUAAGAUAAGCUAUGCGAGGAGGUUGUUUGAAACUGUAAAGCGACAGGUCGGUGUCAGGGUGCGGCUGUCACGAGGCACUGGCCUCCGCCACGGAGCCUCCUGGGGGCGCUGGGGGCCGACUACAAGACCGCCCUCGUUUCUGACAAGAAGCGCAAGUCCAGGGGUCCCCAACCCACCCUCAGGUGUGAGGAUCGCCAGCAGGACGCCUGCAACUCACCGAGAGCUUCUCUGGGCGACAGGCUUAUGGGUUUUCAGGAAAGGACGCAGGAAAAUCAGAAGGGGGAAGGGACACAGGGCAGAGUCCGGAGGGCGUGGAAUGCGGGGGGGGCCUGACGCUCCCUGGCCCUGGAGUCUGGGCACAGUCCUGCCAGCUCUGGUGUGUGAUGAUACCACGGGGCACUGCCCACCAGGGAGCUCACCCUUGCUUCGUGUCCAGAGCUUCUACUGGCUCCAUGACUCAGGCAUGAUCCGUGGAUUGCCUCCAGCCCCGGGAUCAAUUUCAGCCUGUAGGUGGAUCUGACACCCCACGACCCAGAGCCUGGGAGCUGAGGUGGUGCCACUCCUUCCCCAAACAAAGGCACCGCCAUCAGCUGUGACCUAAGCUACCUCCCGGGAGCCAAGGGCCAAGGCCAGACCUCUCUGGGCGAGGCCAGAUUCUUUAUGACGAACCUUACCUGCAUCAGGGAGGGAGCCUACAGAACUUUUCUAGCAGCUACGGCCUGGACCCCCCCACAGCACCUAAUUAGAGGGUACAGUCUGUUCAUUUCCAUUGUGUUGUGUGUCUCUCUACCUAUAGUCUAAGAUAAGGACAGACCUGCGCCUCACA